rnacentral:rRNA from 1 species
CGAUUACGGCUCAGUAACACGUAGUCAACCUAACCUAUGGACGGAAAUAACCUCGGGAAACUGAGAAUAAUGUCCGAUAGAACACUAUACCUGGAAUGGUUUGUGUUCCAAAUGAUUUAUCGCCGUAGGAUGGGACUGCGGCCUAUCAGUUUGUUGGUGAGGUAAUGGCCCACCAAGACUAUUACAGGUACGGGCUCUGAGAGGAGUAGCCCGGAGAUGGGUACUGAGACACGGACCCAGGCCCUAUGGGGCGCAGCAGGCGAGAAAACUUUGCAAUGUGCGAAAGCACGACAAGGUUAAUCCGAGUGAUUUGUGCUAAACGAAUCUUUUGUUAGUCUUAGAACCACUAACGAAUAAGGGGUGGGCAAGUUCUGGCGUCAGCCGCCGCGGUAAAACCAGCACCUCAAGUGGUCAGGAUGAUUAUUGGGCCUAAAGCAUCCGUAGCCGGCUCUGUAAGUUUUCGGUUAAAUCUGUACGCUCAACGUACAGGCUGCCGGGAAUACUGCAGAGCUAGGGAGUGGGAGAGGUAGACGGUACUCGGAAGGAAGGGGUAAAAAUCCUUUGAUCUUU